UGUUGGGCUUCCUUUUCAGUGGUAAUUUCUAGAAGUGUGUGUCUACUCUUCAUGGAGGACACAGGCUUCUGCAUGGAGUUUUAAAAUGUGUUGUGAUCACCUCAUUGUGACCUGAGCUGCUGGGCUGCAUCGCAACGGAAUGUUCACCUUUGUCUUCAUAUGUCAAUGAGCUGUGGGACAGUUGAGCAUACUGAAAAGUAGGCCUAUAUUUUUUAGCCAUGUUUGAGUUGACUAUGAUAUGCUGUUUAAUGAGGCUGGCAACUAACAUGAUUGUUUAUUUCCCAAAAGGGACCAGGCCAGCCACUGUUUUCUUGUGAUUAAUGUGCAUUUUUUUUAUUGUUUUGUUGGUUUGUUUGUGUGAUGUGAUUUUGCUUCUGGGCCUACCACCCAUGUGCCCUACUUGUAGUAGCAUUGUUCCUUAAACUGGUGUUAUCCGUGCUGGGGGUUCUCCUCCCUAACUAUGUCUUCUGCUUAGGCUAUCCCUGUACAAGGCCGGAUCCACACUGAUGCUUUGCCCCUUCUUGCCAAGGGACCACAUUGUUAGAGACAUUGGUUUGGGGUGUCUUUAUAACCAUAACACGGUGUGAGAUUUUUUUGUCAUGGUAUCUGAAGAUCUUGAAUGAGUGGUGCUUGCUGUGUUGCAUGCUUCUUCUGGUGCUGGGUUGCUGUCUCCUGUUUCUUUUUGUCUCACCAGGGUCCACCUGAGCAGGGGUUUCGCAUUGGCUGAUCCGACCUUCCUAGACUGAGGAGAAUCCACCAAUUGUAUAGCAGUAUUUAAGAGCCAUUUUAAUAACUUUUCCACACUUUUUGUACUAAAUUGUAAUAAAUUUGAAAUACAUUUAUA